UUCCGGCUUCCAAGUCUCGCGAGAGACAGAUUGGGAAGAGCCGGGCCAACUCCGGGAAGAAACUUUAAACUUGGUUAAUAAAGGCCUGGUCUGGAGACCUUGAGUGCUAGCAAUCUGGUGGGUUUAAUAGUUUAAAACUACAAAAAGAAAUAAAAUCUCCAAGAAUAGCAAUUUAAUUUCGUAAAAUCAAGGAUCGUUUUAUGUAUUUCUGACUGACCUGAAACGAUGUAGACCAGAUUGGCCUGGAUCUCUGAGCAAUCUGCUUGCUUUUGCAAGUUGCCCAGUACUGGGAUAAAAGGUGUGACCAACUAUGCGUGGCUAUCUGCACAUUUAUUUAAAAAAACGGAGAGACAACGUCCUGGGAACAAAGACACCAAAAUUAAUUGUAAAUAAAACAUGGCAUGUAAGCAGAUCAAGGAC